rnacentral:rRNA from 1 species
CAGUAGCCGCGGGAAUACGUAGGGUGCAAGCGUUAAUCGGAAUUACUGGGCGUAAAGCGUGCGCAGGCGGUUUGUUAAGACAGAUGUGAAAUCCCCGGGCUCAACCUGGGAACUGCAUUUGUGACUGGCAGGCUAGAGUAUGGCAGAGGGGGGUGGAAUUCCGCGUGUAGCAGUGAAAUGCGUAGAUAUGCGGAGGAACACCGAUGGCGAAGGCAGCCCCCUGGGCCAAUACUGACGCUCAUGCACGAAAGCGUGGGGAGCAAACAGGAUUAGAUACCCCGGUAGUCCCUGUCUCUUAUAC